UCCUCCUGAGUCUGAUGUGGAGGAAACUUCAUGGAAACAUGCGACAGGGAAACCUCACGUCACGUGCCUGACAUGGAUCCAUUAGCCACAAAUAAGUAGCACUUUCUACUACUCCCUGUUUGAACAUUAAAAUAACGGUGACAACAACAAGCCACUCAGCCCAACAAGUUCAUCCAUCGUAUUCACCAGAUUGUCCAAAGUAACAUCACUUCGCAGUCCCUAACAUUCUGCUGUCCACCAUACUACUUGUGUUCAGUUUGGACCCUUCAACAUGGCUGCUGGCUGUCUUCGUUCUUAUCAUUACUCACUGAAACUUGAAAGUGGGAUUUGUCCAGAAAAUAACAAAGAGUAUCGGAUGUUCCAUGGUACAACCAAGGAAAAUGCUGAUAUCAUCAAGAGAGAGGGUUUCAAGCGUUCCCGUACAGGAAUGCUUGGGCCUGGGGUCUAUGUUAGCCGAGAUAUUCGAAAGGCCAGCAGAUACCCAAUAUACUCACGAAAAAACAAGCGGGUUGUCCUCGAACUCAAAGUCACUGUGGGAAGGGUUAAGAAGAUUAACAGGAUGGAUGACCCAAUGCGGUUAUUGUGGCAUGAAUAUGGGUAUGACACAGCUUGGGUUCCACCCAAUUGUGGAAUGGUAGAGAGUGGCCUGGAGGAAGACUGUGUAUGGGACCCAAAAAAUAUAAAAUUUAUAAGAAAACGACGUCCUGUUUUUACUAGAGGCCCUCGUGAUAAAUGAGCUCAAAAUUCUGAAUGUAAACAAACACUGCUGAUUUAUUCUCAGGUUAAUGAAGAAAUGGUAUACAGCUAAAUGUGUGUGUGUGAUUUAUAGAAAAUAUGAAAUCUGACAAAUGAGAGGAGACCAUUCAGUCCAUCAAGCUUAUUUGUUUAGCUAAUAGCUAAGUUUCUCUGAUACCUCAUCCAGAUGCUUCUUAACAGGUGUCAAGGUUUCUGCUUCAACUCCAUGUCUUUUGAAUAAUAUCUCCUUUUGUAUCCAUUAUGUUUCUUAGAUUCGCUUUUAUUGUCUUUUUACUAGAGUAGGACUCUAGUUAGUUGCUGUUUAUUUUGGUAUCUCUAUACAGCAGGGGGCGCUAGCUCCCUGGGUUGAAUAAGUUCUUUUGUAAUUGCGGCAUGUUACAUAACCAGAAACUGUACAGAUAUAAGAUAAAAAGAAGAUAUCCCUCCUUUAGUGAUACGGCAGUAAGAAAUCACAUAGGAGAAAUAACUUAGCUUUCUUUAAUGAUGAUUUACACAGCAUAACCGA